rnacentral:rRNA from 1 species
UUAACACAUGCAAGUCGAACGAUGAAACCUAGCUUGCUAGGUGGAUUAGUGGCGCACGGGUGAGUAAUAUAUAGAUAACGUGCCUCUUAGUCUGGGAUAGCCAUUGGAAACGAUGAUUAAUACUGGAUACUCCUUCUCUUUAUAAUAAGAGUUGGGAAAGUUUUUCGCUAAGAGAUCGGUCUAUAUCCCAUCAGGUAGUUGGUAGUGUAAGAGACUACCAAGCCUAUGACGGGUAGCGGGUUUGAGAGGAUGAUCCGCCACACUGGUACUGAGACACGGACCAGACUCCUACGGGAGGCAGCAGUGAGGAAUAUUGCACAAUGGAGGAAACUCUGAUGCAGCAACGCCGCGUGGAGGAUGACGCAUUUCGGUGUGUAAACUCCUUUUAUAUGUCAAGAAAAUGACGGUAGCAUAUGAAUAAGCACCGGCUAACUCCGUGCCAGCAGCCGCGGUAAUACGGAGGGUGCAAGCGUUAUUCGGAAUCACUGGGCGUAAAGGACACGUAGGCGGGAAGCCAAGUCUGAUGUGAAAUCCUACAGCUUAACUGUAGAACUGCAUUGGAAACUGGUUACCUAGAGUAUGGGAGGGGGAGAUGGAAUUAGUGGUGUAGGGGUAAAAUCCGUAGAUAUCACUAGGAAUACCUAAAGCGAAGGCGAUCUCCUGGAACAUUACUGACGCUAAGGUGUGAAAGCGUGGGGAGCAAACGGGAUUAGAUACCCCGGUAGUCCACGCCCUAAACGAUGUUCACUAGUCGUCGGGAUGCUAGUCAUCUCGGUGAUGCACUUAACAGAUUAAGUGAACCGCCUGGGGAGUAC